UCCAAGAAGGAAACUUACACAAGGGGUCCAGCUCCUAGAAUGAGAACCAAAGGAUUAGCUCUCUGACUACCCAAGAAUUUUAAAAAAGGAGAAUCAAGGCGUUCAAGUUAAAAACUCAAAUAUUUUAAACGGAGAAGAAAAGCUACGUACGGGAGGGGACGGAACAUAUGUCGGAAAGAGGAAUAAAGUUAGGAACUUGCCUGGACUAAGGAAGGAAUCCACUCUCGCGUGUGUGUGUGCGUGUGCGAGUGCGUGAGCCGACGAGUGGCGCUGCGAUGGUCGCAAACGCGGGGCCCGGACGUACCCAGCAGAGAGGUGCCCGGGUCGAAGCACUUUUUCCCCAACACCACGGACAGCCAUGCAUUUCCCAGAGUCGGUCUUCCAGCACCACCCGAGGCUGCGCCGGGUCCCCACCCGCCACCGCCCACGACACUCACUCCGCAGCAGGGGCGACGUCUCCUUCUUCACGUACUUGCCCUGCACCUCGGCCGGCU